UACGAAGGGGGCUAGCGUUGUUCGGAAUUACUGGGCGUAAAGCGCGCGCAGGCGGCUAUCCAAGUCAGUGGUGAAAGCCCGGAGCUCAACUCCGGAACUGCCAUUGAAACUGUUUAGCUUGAGGACGAGAGAGGUGAGUGGAAUUCCCAGUGUAGAGGUAGAAAUUCGUAGAUAUUGGGAAGAACACCGGUGGCGAAGGCGGCUCACUGGCUCGGUAUCUGACGCUCAGGCGCGGACAGCGUGGGGAUCGAAACAGG
rnacentral:rRNA from 1 species